AUCCGGCUGACGAGUCCCAAAUAGGACGAAACGUGCAUCCUGGAU
rnacentral:hammerhead_ribozyme from 1 species